rnacentral:lncRNA from 1 species
AUUAACUCGGAGCCCGGCGCAGUGGAAAGCGGGGCCAAGAAGCGGAGGUCCAGGUUCCAACUCUGAUUCUAUCACAAAACACUGCACCCAAGGCAACCAGGCAGCUUCCAAAGACCUCGUAUGUGCCCCGCCAUUUGCUGGGUGCUGGGGAUACAGACAUGAAAAGAAAAAUAAAAGACUCAGCCGUGCCUCCGGGAGCUCACAGUCCCGCUGAUGGUUUAGUCCUCUCCUCUCUCCGGGCCUCACUGCCCCAAUCUGGGAGAUUGACAGGUUGGACUAUCACGACCCGUCUCUCCGCCGCUGCGGAGACGCCCCUGGAUCACAGCGCCCCUGCCUCUGCGGCCCAGGACAGGGCUCAGGGCCCAGCCCCUAAAAUUGCUCAGGGUGAGGUUGAAUGGAUCAACCACAGCAACUGUCACCUCACAGCAGGAGACAGGGAAACUGAGUCCCAGAGAGUCAAGAGAGUGCUUACCUGAGACCUGGGUAAUACUGGAAGCUGUCCUUCCUUCCACCAAAAGCUCUUCGCCUUUUUUAUUAUUUUUAAUUUUUGUUUUUGUUUUUGAGACGGAGUCUCACUCUGUCGCCCAGGCUGGAGUGCAGUGGUGCAAUCUCAGCUCACUGCAACCUCCACCUCCCGGGUUUAAGCGAUUCUCCUGCCUCAGCUUCCCAAGUGGCUGGGAUUACAGGCAUGUACCACCACACCUGGCUAAUUUUUGUAUUUUUAGUAGAGAAGAGGUUUCACCACGUUGGCCAGGCUGGUCUCAAGCUCUUGACCUCAAGUAAUCCACCUGCCUUGGCUUCCCAAAGUGUUGGAGUUACCGGAGUAAGCCACUAUGCCCAGCCCAAGAGCUCUUUGCCUUCUGAGAGCAGCGUCCUGUGGAGGCAGAAACAGGUAUCUGCCCUCUCCAAGCCUGACUUCUCACCGGCUUCCCCCAACAAUCACACAGCAGGUUCCGCAGGCUUUUCCUUCCUUUCCUUCUUGUCCUGUCCCCUCCCUUCCCACAGCUCUGGGACGGCAGCCUUUACCUGAGCUGCCCGAGCCCCUGGUUGCUCCCCAGAAACAGUGGCCUGGCUGCGUGUUGGCAUCCACAGCACGUGAUAAGGGCUAUGGGAUUUGGGCGACCCUGGAGGGUGAGGAAAGGGAAGGUGCCCAUGUGAGGACUAGGCGUCUGGAGAGAGGAAGGGAGAGGGCCCGGCGGGAGGAAGUGCUGCCCCAAGCGGCAGGACAGGGCUCUGAAAAACCACAAGAUGCUUGUGAACAGCCAGUGCUGCUGCUGUCCAAGCCAUUACCCUGUGCCGUGCCUGAGCGGCGCCCUGAAGUUUUGAAAGGCGGAAGAUGAGCUCCCUGCAAGGAGGGUCUUCCUGCGGUGGAAUAGAGGCCUCGCCCAGAGCCCGAGGGCAGCACAGCCCCCCUCGCAGGCCACCUGUCUGCACAGUUCACCCUCCUCGGCCUCCUCUCUCCCUCCUCCCAGCAAGGUGGGCCCUUUGUUCUCCAUCUGACUCACCAGGGCUCCUUCCCCCAUCCCACCCCACACCAGCCCUGCCUCAAGCUGGAGGGGGAAUACUGGGGGAGCUGGGGAGUUGGUUUGGGUCCUGCUUCUGAGAGGCGAGAGCUCCAAAGGACCCCUCCCUGCCCAGCCUGUUUCAUCCCCAGAUUGUUAGAGCUGAUACAGGGUCUGCCUAACUGUAUUCCACUCCCCUACCCUCCACCGCCCCCACCCACCCACCCACCCACCCAUCCACACACACACACACACACACUGGCUCCAGCUGUCCUCAGGGUCCCAAUGCCCUCUGGACACUAUCCCAGGACAGCCCCUCUGAGUCUGCCAGUAGCUACCAUACCCCUCCCUCCUUCUCCAAGCUAAAUGGCCUCUGUUCCCUCAAAAAACAAAGAACUAAAGGCAAGCGCUAGAAUGAUCAAGCUCUUAGAAGAAGCAGAGGGCCGCGUCUCCAGGACCUCAUGGAGGCAACGGCUUCUUAGCCUUGACACCAAAGCAUGAGCAACAAAAAGAAGAAUAAAUAAAUUGGAUUUCAGCAAAUUCAAAACAACUGUGCUCCAAAGGACACUAUCAAGAAAGCAGGCUGGGUGCAGUGGCUCACGCCUGUAAUCCCAGCACUUGGGGAGGCCAAGGCGGUUCCAUCACUUGCGGCCAGAAGUUCGAGAUCAGCCUGGCCAACAUGGCAAAAUCCUGCCUCUAC